rnacentral:tRNA from 1 species
UGCGGGGUAGAGCAGAGGCAGCUCGUCGGGCUCAUAACCCGGAGGUCGCAGGUUCGAAUCCUGCCCCCGCGACCA